rnacentral:rRNA from 1 species
UACGGAGGGGGCGAGCGUUAUUCGGAAUUAUUGGGCGUAAAGAGCGCGUAGGCAGCGCGAUAAGUCAAAGGUGAAAUCCCUCGGCUCAACUGAGGAACUGCCUUUGAGACUGUCGUGCUCGAGGCCGGGAGGGGGGUAGCGGAAUUCCCAGUGUAGCGGUGAAAUGCGUAGAUAUUGGGAGGAACACCAGUGGCGAAGGCGGCUACCUGGACCGGUUCUGACGCUGAUGCGCGAAAGCGUGGGUAGCAAACAGG